CAGGAUAUAAUAGGUCCAGGUAUAAACUGUUAACACUGGGAACUACGACAACAGGAUAUAAUAGGUCCAGGUAUAAACUGUUAACACUGGGAACUACGACAACAGGAUAUAAUAGGUCCAGAUAUAAACUGUUAACACUGGGAACUGCGACAACAGGAUAUAAUAGGUCCAGGUAUAAACUGUUAACACUGGGAACUACGAGAACAGGAUACAAAUCUCG